CAGGGGUCAUGGAAAUCAGCUCAGGGAUCGUCGACCAGCACUGAAUUCCAGGUCUCUAUUUUAUUUGCAAGAUUAAAGGGGAGACUAGCUAGUAAUGUCCUGAAGGGUAUUGUUAACGUAAAAAUGCUUUAUAUAAAGAGUUAGAGUAAGCCGUUAAGUCUCAGAAAGCAAAAUGUCAUAAUAAGUCAGGCAAAAAAAAGGGGUUAAAGACAAGACAGCUGGAAAAAAACAUUAGGCUCCAUGUCGAUGUAAUGACUAUGUUGGUUAUCAUUG